rnacentral:rRNA from 1 species
GGUAAGCCGUUACCUUACCCUGGCGCUAAUCCUGCGCAUACUCAUCUUGUCCGGUUUGCUUUGAGGGAUGCCCCAUAGAAGUUCGGAUUAAUACCUGGUAUUAUUUGGAUUUCUCAUGAGGCUCAUAUUAGAGGUUGCGGUACAAGAUGAGUGUGCGUUCUAUGAGCUAGAUGGUAAGGUAACGGCUUACCAUGGCUACGAUAGAUAGGGGCCCUGAGAGGGGGAUCCCCCACACUGGUACUGAGACACGGACCAGACUCAUACGGGAGGCAGCAGUGAGGAAUAUUGGACAAUGGGCGAGAGCCUGAUCCAGCCAUGCCGCGUGCAGGAUGACGGCCCUAUGGGUUGUAAACUGCUUUUAUACAGGAAGAAACACCCCGACGUGUCGGGACUUGACGGUACUGUAAGAAUAAGGAUCGGCUAACUCCGUGCCAGCAGCCGCGGUAAUACGGAGGAUCCAAGCGUUAUCCGGAAUCAUUGGGUUUAAAGGGUCCGUAGGUGGACAAUUAAGUCAGAGGUGAAAUCCUGCAGCUCAACUGUAGAAUUGCCUUUGAUACUGGUUGUCUUGAGUUAUUAUGAAGUAGUUAGAAUAUGUAGUGUAGCGGUGAAAUGCAUAGAUAUUACAUAGAAUACCAAUUGCGAAGGCAGAUUACUAAUAAUGAACUGACACUGAUGGACGAAAGCGUGGGGAGCGAACAGGAUUAGAUACCCUGGUAGUCCACGCCGUAAACGAUGGUUACUAGUUGUUCGGAUUUCGGUCUGAGUGACUAAG